AAUCAACGCUGGCGGCGUGCCUCAGACAUGCAAGUCGAACGAGAAGUCCCCUUCGGGGGGAUGGAUAGUGGCGCACGGGUGAGUAACACGUGGGUAAUUUACCUUUGGGUGGGGAACAACAGCCGGAAACGGCUGCCAAUACCGCAUAAUGCAGCGGCUCCUCAUGGAGACAGUUGUUAAAGCGGGGGAUCGCAAGACCUCGCGCCUGAAGAGAAGCCCGCGGCAGAUAGCUAGUUGGUAAGGUAAUGGCUUACCAAGGCGACGAUCUGUAACCGGCCUGAGAGGGCGGUCGGUCACACUGACACUGACAUACGGGUCAGACUCCUACGGGAGGCAGCAGUCGGGAAUUUUGGGC
rnacentral:rRNA from 1 species